GGGCUCCGCCUUACACGCAUGCACGCGCUCAUAGCAAAGCUGGAUCCACUUACGAGGUUGAUAACCAGCGUCCUAAGACAGUUUAACGAGACCGCCCGCUAACGCGCUAAGUCGAGCGAGGUAGCUCCAAGGUUACCUCGCUAGGUUGUACCUGAUUCGUAGAACAGGCCCCUGGUCCCGUCAGACGAACACAAUAAACUGUUUUAUUUGUUUUUUAACAUCAUGUAAAGGCACAGACUGGAUAAUCCCUAAAGCAGAUAAAUUCAGCCUGAGUCCGUGUGGUCUGCUUGGAGUAUUAACAGGCUGCACCUCAUCCAUCCUGACCUAAAGUUCCCUCCUCUGUGUCGGACUUUUAAAAGAGCGUGAGGAGAAAGUUCUCCAAGGACAAACAGGGCUGCCCACAGGCGCCACAAACCGAGCAUUUGUUGUCCAGAAAAGUGGACUAAUGAGACGCAUCACAGCCACAGACAAACAUCCUUCAGUGCCUGAUAUGAGAACACAUCCUCCGACUGGUCAGUCCUCAUUGGUGAACUGGUUAAGGCCCCCAAACUGAUCAAUAGAAAAACAGAGAGUCCCCUUUAUCUGUGGGCACCACUUAUCUGUCUGUUGCUGUUAUUUCCGGGGUUGUCGGCUGCUGUGAAACUGACAUUUCUUUUGUAGAAAGCACAGUAAAGUCUAUUUUCUCAGCCGACGUCGUUCAGAAAGACAGAGUUGUUUUAGAGUACCGUUCAGUCGCCUCUAAAGACCGAACUUUUAAAGUACACCGUGUCCUUUCUUUCUUUUUUUAUUUUUGUUACCCACUAGACCUUUUCUGAACUUGUAACCGAGAGAAUAAGUGGUUGAUAUCGACUUUGGAGAAAAAAUGUCAAUGAGGACGGAAAGAUGAUGCUGUGCAUACUUGUGACAAGCUAAAAGACACUCCGGGUGUGAGAGCGGAGGGCGGUUAUUGAACCUGACACUCGUCUCAUCAGUGAAUUAAGAUGUUAGUGCAUGCUGUUAACAGACCUCUGAGUCGAUGAUUGACAAACACCAAAGAACCCAGCAGGGAUUUUUGCUCUGCUUCAAGAGGAACCAAUCCAGAACGCUCCGCGGUCUCUCUCUGCACAGAAGCAAAAACACUGAUUGUUAAAAAUCUUAAUUCUCCAUUGUUCAGAGGACAAGUUAAAUCGUCUGCGAUAGUACUAUUAAAACCUGACAGCGGUUUGAGUUUGGCUCGGUCUUUUUACACCAAUCACAAACUUGUUUAACUUCUUCAAAGGGACAUAAUUAUCCGAGUGUCCUUCUCUGUGAAUAGCUUUAAUGAGAGUAAUUUGGAGUGGUCCUCUUAGCGUCAAGAGGCGACUGUGUUGUUCUUUCGACACCUGCUGCCCUGGAGGAUCACAGAGAGCCCCUCCAUGAAUAAAGUCCACUAAUAGAGCCAAUUAACCAGACUGGCAAGUUUCCCUAGUAAUCACCACUAGAUGGAGAUUGGGCAGCACUUAAGGCCAAUCAGAGGGACAGGCAAUCAGAAAUUAAAAGUCCAUUAAGUUUUCGCCUUCAUGUGGAAUUUGGACACUGCAGGAGGGAAAUAAAACACUUUAGAGAUAUAAUAUAAAAGUUUCAUAGAUGUAGUUUUCUGCUCAUCAAUCAAAGGACCUAUCUUCUUAAUAGAUAGUCUCAUAGUAUUCAACAGUUUCCACAACUCCUUACAAGGUUUUACAACCUUACAGCCCUAACCUAUUCAGACUACAAUCGCUUUUUAAACCGGGCUUCAGACUUCUUAAGUUUCGCUCUAAAACUGGUCUUUGGUAGUGCAGUGAGCCCCAAGUGGACACUCCGGGAACUGCAGUUCCGUGUCAGCUUCAUUUCUCCGGACGUGAAGUUGCUGCUCGGGUUGCAUCAGGAUACAUGUGGCGAAACAACAGAGAUGCUCCUCCUCUAAAACUUGUUCAAAAUUGGCAAAACACCCCGAAUACAUCGAUGCUAUUGAGCUUAAUAUGCAAGAAUAGAAGUUUACACACUUUAUCUUUUUAUGGUGCAGGGGCUUCACUGACUAUUAGAUUAUUUUAGCAUAAUGUAAGGUGCAUGAAAAAAUGUUGAUGGAUGGAUGUUUGGAUAAUUAAAAAAUAUUGACUCAAAUUAUUCUAACAUGCAAAAAAAUCAAAAAUAACCAAAAUAAAUUAACCUUACAGUGAAAAAGUGACAAACCAGCAACAAAAAUAAAAUCAACGUUCACCAAAAGAAUGAACCAAAAAUCAAACAGAAUAUAGCGUACAUACAGAGACGCCAGGCCUUCAUUAAAUUGUCAUUUUUUCCAAUGGGGUUUGGUCAAUGUGCACUUGCCGCAGUUUGUGCGGAGCUACAUGACUGAAUAGUAAUAACAAAUACUAGUUUGACGAGACAAAGGAAAGAGAAGUGAUCUGUGAUCUGGAUAUUGAUGAGUGGUGACCUGAGCUGCAGAAAUGAGUUUAUGGAUAAUGGGAAAAUUAUAACAACGAUCUCAAAUAAUAAAAUAAUCAAUUUGUUGAUGACUCAUUUUUCUUUGGUGGCAUGGCGUACAUUUUAAAUCACUGUUUUUUUUUUUACAUUAAUUUACUUUUUUUUUUAAACCUAGGUUACAUAUAGUCCGAAUGCAUGCUUCAAGGGUGGCCUGUCCUGCAUUGAUGGUCUGCUGAGACCCUUUACCACAAAGUCAGGCCAGAGUCAACAGUCAGACUGGUGAUGAGAGCAGAGGGCGGCUCUGACCUUGGCCCUUACAUGCAGCUGAAGGCUCCAGUUAAACAGGCUCAGUAUUCAUAUGGAGGCGUGUCCUUCACUGACAAUGAAACUGACUCUACGGUGAAACGUUGGCUUUUUGAGAACCAGUACACUGGUGUAGCAGUGACAAACGCCGCUUCGAAACGGAUCAUUUGGCUGAUAAAUCUUGGUCACAUGUAGUGGGUACAUCUAUCGGACCAAUCCUCAAAGUCUGAGAGCAUUUCCUGAGUUGCAAGACUCAAUCUUUAAGUUCAAGUCCAACAACAAAUCCCAAACUGAGUAUAAACCGGCCCAAACCUCCUCUAAGCAGAGCCCUUAACUGGAAACCCUAGGAUUACUGUUUUAAAUCACUCCCAGUCAAAUCGUGGGCUUCUUGAAUCUGUUACAUAAUGUAAAACACGGUACGGAAACACGUCCCUGAAGUAUACGUUUGUUGUUUGAAAUAAGUCUGGCAGCGGAUGACUGAAGUGGAUUUGAAGCUUGGCAGAAAGUUGGAGUAGAGAGCUCCAGUAGAGCACGGCAUCAAUGGAGUGGCUUGGAAAAACAUUUAUAGCGAGGCUGCUGUUGAAGUGGAAAUGUAAUAUGUAUUGAUUUGAAUGAAAUAUGGCACAGAGAGAAACACUAUCGCAGAGAGAUCAGUCUAAAUGAAAGCAGAAUUACAGACGUCAGUUAAUUUCCUUAAAUGAGAAUCAUGUUUUUUAUUUUCCUGUGAGAAAAUCCUCCCCAACAUUUCAUGAUAUAAACUCCUCAAAAUAAUAAGACGGUAAAUUCCUGGUAUCUCUUGCCUCCUUUGGCUCUCAGCAGAGUACUACAGUUGUUGUGAUCAAGGUCAGCUCUCAUCCUGCAGACCUGAUUUUCCUUGUCGGUAUUCCAAGCACCUCAGAAGACGUUGGCAGCAGUUUUUACUUGGCAGAUACCUCCCCGACCCGAUAGGGCACACGGAAGAGACGCUCCCUGAAUAGUCGAUUCUUCAAACCUGUGGUCAGCAUUCUGCAUGCGUCCCUCGGAGCUAAACGCUCUUCCUCCACUCUCCUUUUGAGCCUCUGACAGGAAGGAUGCGAUAUUGCACCUGGCCUCUUUCAUGGCUCCCCUCCCCCCUUUCGCCUCUGCCUCCUCCUCCUCCUCCUCCUCCUCCUCCUCGCUGUGGAGCUGUUCCACCUCUCCACACUAAUUGUUCAUUCCUUCUCUCCCUCUUCUUCCGCUCUGACAUCUCCUCCCUGUAGAGCUCCAGCGCUCUCGCCUCGAGAAAAGAGGACAACUCUUUAUUCAAACUGUUAAACAGAUGAGCUCAUAAAGAAGAGCAGCUCUGCACCCCAGGAUAGUGAAACGGUGAAACCUGCUAUAAAUCUGUUUUGAUGUGGGCAAAGUUUCAGCACAGCGGACCUCUCAGAUGCCAGAAUGACUAACAAAACUUCCCUCUGCUCGGCCGCCAUCCGCCCGUGUUGUCUAAUGAAGCCCAAUCAGAGCGAACAACCUGGCAAAGGAUCUCAAUCAAACUUCAUUUUCUUUUCUAAUGACUCCCUCUGGGACUCACAGGUCCUGGCCUGAUGCACCUUCAAAUCCAGCUCCAAGUCCAGCUUUUCUAACAAGCAUCCAAAACCCAAAUGUGGAUGUGUCCUCAUUAAAGAGCGGAUAAAUUUAGCAGCUUAUAGAAGAGCGGUAUUUAAUCCUUUUUUUAAAAUGUGCAUAUACAUGAAGGAGGAAUUGGACAUUGUCCAUGAAGCUGCAGGUGAUAUGAAUCUUAUUCUGAUCAGAUAGUGGAGAUAAUGCAAAUAUCUGCACAUACAUUAAACUGAUUGUCCCUCCAUUGGGAGUAUUUUGUGUUUAAGUGUUUUGUGCACGUUUGUGGUGUGAGAAUAAUAAAUUCACACAUUUCAGGAUUGGCUUUUAAAGGACCUUGAAAUCAUACACUGAAAGGACUUUUUUAAUGAUGACAUGCCAAACAAGAGAAAAGUGUUUAAAAUAUGGUUAUUCUUACUGUUGGAUACAUCAUGCGUUCUGCACUGACUUGAUUGUUUGCAGCGCCAUCUUCAGGGUAAAAUACGAAAACACACUUGCAGUAGAUUAGCUGCCCAACAUCAUUCUGUUUUCUUCUUUAUAUGAUUGGCAAGUAUUUUAGAAGCCUCAUCUGCUGUUGCCGUGCGUAAACAGCACUGAGUUAAAAAAGAAGUUUAAAAUGAGGCCACAUUUUUGACAUUAAGUCUGACCCAAAACAUUUGGAGAUGCGCUCUGUUUUUUUAAAUCAACAAAGAAGUUUAAUAAGUUUAAAAAAAUAUUUUUUUUGAGUGACUGCAAAAAACGUCAAUAAUAACCUUUAAUUUUCCAGACACUCUCUAAAAAAUACGUUUAUAUCUUAGUGAGAUAGAAAAGCCUGACUUCACAAAAACCUGAGAGCCACCGGUCUCACAGAGUGAGUGGAUUUGACAGUGAUUCUGCAUGAUACUAACCUCAAAUAUAAAAUGAUGUUUACCACAGGAUUGACUCCUAAGGCCCAAAUAUGAAGGAUACCACUUCUUUCUGAUGUAUUUUGCAGGAAAUAGUCUUUUAUGUUUGGGUGAGUUUUUUUCCUUUAAAACAUCAAAGAUUGUAAAAUACCUCAUCCUUACAUCUGCUUUAUCACAAAGGCUGCACUCAUGACCACACUAUUACAGUGAUGCCCCCACAAUAGAGCUGGUAUAAGGGACCAGAUUACUAUUGAACCAGUAUUUUCUUUAUGCCGGGACAUACUUGAAUGUGAGCUUGUAUUAUUCGAGCGGCGUAGGACUUCAGACUGAAGCCCUUUUAAUGUAAUUCUUAUCUAAUCUGCAGAGACAGGAGAAAAAAUGUAAUUAAGGACGAAGAAAACUCAGGUUGCAAUUUUCUGAUUGCUUGUAAGUAUUUGUAUUCACUAUCAGUCGUCUUCUUUUCACAUUUAAGAGAGACAUGGAACUCUUAUUUUUAUUAUUGUGGAUUUUUUUCAAACUCAGCAGAUGGAAAAUCAUAUCAGGGAAAGAGAAAGUAUGAAUUCAACAGCAGGAAAACACAAGUUUACGUUUUCGGAGUGCUUUGAAGACUUAGUAUUCAUUGUGCAGGAUCCUCCUGUCACUUGUGAGAGUGAUUAGGGAUUCAUUAUGAACACGGCCUGUCAGUGCUCGGCUUGUGUACAUGUGUGCAGUGGAUCAAUGGUGAUUCUGCAGCAUGGAGCCUCGGCCUUGUCGUGGGGCGAGGGGGUGUGCAGGGAGACGAGCGGGCAGAUUAAAGCAGCUUUGUCUGUGUGUAAGUGGAUUAUCAGCAGGUAGAGUGCUCCCCGUGUUGCCGCAGCGAUUGUGUUAGUGCACUUCCUGCCUGGCCACAGAGAGGACCAUCUGCCAUUUAGCCCUGAUGGAUGGUCCCAAGCAGACGUCAGUCUCUUCCAUGCAGAACACCUGCUGAAUCCUGAUCAGACUGUUGGCUUAUAUUAACAGAACCCAUCACUUUGUCACCAUAGCAUCCGCGUCUUACUGCUGGAGUUCAGACUGCAGCAACCGUGAACACACACACACACACACACGUGAACACACACAGGCUGUAAAACAAGGGUAACAGAUUUCGGUGCUUAAAAACGGUGGCGUUUCUCCAAGACCGACCAGACCCAGUAGACAUAAACAAGCCUCAUUAUGGUCCACAUUAUGCCCAUUGCUCUUUAUUUCAGUGAACAGACUGUAAUAUUUUGACUGGCAUCAAAUGGACCGAACCGUGCCAACUCCUAACAGGAUUGUGUGUCUUGAAGCAUAAGCUCAGCCAGCGACACAGUACAGUAUGUCUACUUCACGCACAUAAGACAGAAACGAGGAACAGAAGGACGAACACGACAAGCCGAGCUUAAGGAGGAAGAGGAGAAGGAGGAGGAGGAGAGUGAAUACAAGAUGACUUUAAAAGGAGAUAUCCGACUCUGCAAAGAUAAUCAAAAUCUCACUGUAACCCCGCGGAUCAGACGGGUGCAUCUUUCAGACGUUAGCCGACAGAAACUUUAGAGGAAGAAGAGAUAACGGCCUUUUAUGUGACAAGUCUGCAGACGUAAAUGAAGAGAGAAUUUAUCCAUACAUAAUAAUAGGGAGGAAAAAAGACAGAGGAGCGCUUUGAUGGCAAAAAAUACCAGAGGUUGUCAAGUGACCAUCAAGCACUGAGAUGCCAAACAGAGCGUUAACAAAUGGAAAUUUCCUCCAGAAAAACAUUUACACCUGACUUUAUGCAAAUAUUCAAAAACAGGGUGUGAGAGAGGAAACUUCCUGACAGCUUAUUUAUUAUUUUUACAUCUGAGAAACGCUGCACGAACGCGCUGACAUGUUUGGAGCAGGACGAGAAACAGUUUCAGGUGGAUUUCUGGAAUAAAACACAUAAAUAUGCAUCCUUGCAAGAUGGCGAUACCUUUGUAAUUUGUAAAGGUUUGGAUGUUAUCUGCAGAGCUCACCAAAACAAUCAACAAAUGAGUUAGCAAGAGGCUUUUUUAACUGAGGUAUGACUGUGAAUGUGCUGAACCUGAGGAACGUGUAAGAAACUGUUAUUGAAUAGAUUUAUGACAAAAUGAUUAGCAGGUUUUCGUGCUUCAAGAACUUUAAUCCGGUGUUUCAAACAUUGUAGAUUUCUGACGGAUCAUUAAACUCGUAUCACUCUGGAUAUGGGACCAUUUAGUCCACUGAAAAAGCGUCUUUGUCCGCCUGCGCUGACUCGGAGGUCCUGUCAUGCAGCUACAUGUGUGUUAGCAGAUAAGAGUGAAUCACUGCGAGGGCUCAGGCUUUAUCUGGAUCUGCAUCACUGAGACACAGGGGUGUAUCUUUUAUUAUUACCUCUCCCACCAUUGUUUUUUGAUAAGCAUCUGCAGGUUUUUGUCAUAUAUGUGGUGCCUUUCUCUUCCUGCACGCUCUUUGUGUUGUAUUCAUUUUAACCGAGAGCUUCUUUUUCUCAUUAGGGCGUUUGUAGAGCCGAGCAUCAACUUUAUGUGCAGUGAUUCGGUGUGAGUCACAGAACAAAAACCUCUUUUGUUGUGGACUGAGGGCUGUUGACCCUCUGAGUGUGGCAGCCGUGCUCUCAGCCCGAUCAGGAGCUCCGAUAUCCACCACGAGACGGCGAGGAGAAAGACCACGUCUCCUCCUGAUGGCCCUCUCCCGCCACUCGUCACCUUAUCUGGAGUCUGUC